UACGUAGGGGGCAAGCGUUGUCCGGAAUUAUUGGGCGUAAAGAGCGUGUAGGCGGUCCGGUAAGUCGGCUGUGAAAGUCCAGGGCUCAACCCUGGGAUGCCGGUCGAUACUGCCGGACUAGAGUUCGGAGGAGGCGAGUGGAAUUCCCGGUGUAGCGGUGAAAUGCGCAGAUAUCGGGAGGAACACCUAUGGCGAAGGCAGCUCGCUGGGACGUUACUGACGCUGAGACGCGAAAGCGUGGGGAGCAAACAGG
rnacentral:rRNA from 1 species